rnacentral:rRNA from 1 species
GGAGGUUGGCUUAGAAGCAGCCAUCCUUGAAAGAGUGCGUAAUAGCUCACUGGUCAAGUGGUUCUGCGCCGACAAUGUAGCGGGGCUCAAGCGUACCGCCGAAGCUGUGGCAACAACACGCGAUGCUGGCGCCAGGAACUGGAGUGCUGGUGUGUUGUUGGGUAGGGGAGCGUCCUGCACGAGGUGAAGCCUGGAGGGAACUUCUGGUGGAUUGUGUGGGAGUGAGAAUGCAGGCAUGAGUAACGAAUCUGCGGUGAGAAUCCGCAGCGCCGAUUGACUAAGGGUUCCAGGGCUAGGUUUAUCCGCCCUGGGUUAGUCGGGUCCUAAGGCGAGGCCGACAGGCGUAGUCGAUGGACAACCAGUUGAUAUUCUGGUACCGCGUUAUGACCGCCCAUGCUGAAGUCAUUGUGCUAACCAAUUUGCCCGCAUCCCCGCAUGGCUUUCGGGCCGUGUGGUGUGUGUGGGUCUUGGGGUCCCGGUGAUUGUAGGCAAGCGUGUUAACAGGGGUGACGCAGACAGGUAGCUGCAGUGCGCCGAUGGUUGUGCGUAUUUAAGGUUGUGGCCCGCCUCCCAGGCAAAUCCGGGGGACAUGUGGGUGAGAACUGAUGAGGGACACACGCGUGUGUGGACUUGUGGUGAUCCUAAGCUGCCGAGAAAAGCCUCGACGUGAGGGCAUAACGCGCCCGUACCCUAAACCGACUCAGGUGGUCAGGUAGAGUAUACCGAGGCGUUCGAGUGAAUCGUGGUUAAGGAACUCGGCAAAAUUCCUCCGUAACUUCGGGAUAAGGAGGACCCCGUGACUUGCUCCCGCCAUGCGUGGGUGUUGGGUUGUGGGGUCGCAGAGAAUAGGGAGAAGCGACUGUUUAUCAAAAACACAGGUGCGUGCGAAGCCGUAAGGCGAUGUAUACGCACUGACGCCUGCCCGGUGCUGGAAGGUUAAGAGGAACCGUCAACACCCCUUCGGGGUGUGAAGCGGUGAAUUUAAGCCCCAGUAAACGGCGGUGGUAACUAUAACCAUCCUAAGGUAGCGAAAUUCCUUGUCGGGUAAGUUCCGACCUGCACGAAUGGCGUAACGACUUCUCCGCUGUCUCAACCGCGAACUCGGUGAAAUUGCAGUACGAGUAAAGAUGCUCGUUUCGCGCAGAAGGACGGAAAGACCCCGGGACCUUUACUAUAGCUUGGUAUUGGUGUUCGCUUGGACUUGUGUAGGAUAGGUGGGAGACUGUGAAGCUGCCGCGCCAGCGGUGGUGGAGUCGUCGUUGAAAUACCAUUCUGGUUCAAGCGGUCACCUCAACCUUGGCCCGUGAUCCGGGUUGGGGACAGUGCCUGGUGGGUAGUUUAACUGGGGCGGUUGCCUCCUAAAAUGUAACGGAGGCGCUCAAAGGUUCCCUCAGCCUGGUUGGUAAUCAGGUGGCGAGUGCAAGUGUACAAGGGAGCUUGACUGUGAGACCGACGGGUCGAGCAGGUGCGAAAGCAGGAACUAGUGAUCCGGCCAUGGCACGUGGGUGCGUGGUCGCUCAACGGAUAAAAGGUACCCCGGGGAUAACAGGCUGAUCUUGCCCAAGAGUCCAUAUCGACGGCAUGGUUUGGCA